GUGGGGAAUCUUGCGCAAUGGGCGAAAGCCUGACGCAGCCAUGCCGCGUGAAUGAUGAAGGUCUUAGGAUUGUAAAAUUCUUUCACCGGGGACGAUAAUGACGGUACCCGGAGAAGAAGCUCCGGCUAACUUCGUGCCAGCAGCCGCGGUAAUACGAAGGGGGCUAGCGUUGCUCGGAAUUACUGGGCGUAAAGGGCGCGUAGGCGGACAGCUUAGUCAGAGGUGAAAGCCCAGGGCUCAACCUUGGAAUUGCCUUUGAUACUGACUGGCUUGAGUGUGGGAGAGGUGAGUGGAACUCCGAGUGUAGAGGUGAAAUUCGUAGAUAUUCGGAAGAACACCAGUGGCGAAGGCGACUCACUGGCCCAAUACUGACGCUGAGGCGCGAAAGCGUGGGGAGCAAACAGGAUUAGAAACCCCAGUAGUCC
rnacentral:rRNA from 1 species